AUUCGCAGACAUUGAGAUGCAAACUGUGCAGGUUGGGAAGGAGGAGGCCCUUCGUCUUUUGGUGACCUCUUUUCUUUGUGACUCUGCCCUCACCAGUGUAUUCCUCAGUAGCAUGAAAUAAAGAACUGUAUCCCGGACAGCUCGAUUGCCUAAUAUGAUGAGGCUUUGCAUCUUUUGUUUGUGCCUCUUUUCUAAUCAAUACCUGCAUUGGCAGCCGCAGCAAGAAUAAUGAGAGCUUGGUUAAUAUAAGAUCCAUAUGGGGAUCUAUCUUUGGUUCUUUUCAUCUUCUCUUCUAAAAGCUUGUAUUAAAAUAGGACUUUGUUUGCAUGUGGUAUCUUCUUUAAUUUCAUCGACCAGUUGUAAGUUGUAAGACUGAAUCCCAUUUGUUUGGAGACACAAUGAAUGAGGAUGGAAGAAAACAUUUCUGUCAAGCUUAUAGCUAGCAAUUCAGAGAAGAUUGUUUAUUAUGCACAAGUAGGGGAGGAUUUCGUUUA